rnacentral:snRNA from 1 species
AGCUUUGCGCAGUGGCAGUAUCGUAGCCAAUGAGGUUUAUCCGAGGCGCGAUUAGUGCUGAUUGAAAAUGCCAGAAAGGAAUUUAUGAAGGGGUGGCUUUAUU